rnacentral:rRNA from 1 species
AGCGAACGCUGGCGGCAGGCCUAACACAUGCAAGUCGAACGAACCUUUCGGGGUUAGUGGCGGACGGGUGAGUAACACGUGGGAACGUGCCUUUAGGUUCGGAAUAACUCAGGGAAACGUGUGCUAAUACCGAAUGUGCCCUUCGGGGGAAAGAUUUAUCGCCUUUAGAGCGGCCCGCGUCUGAUUAGCUAGUUGGUUGAGGUAAUGGCUCACCAAGGCGACGAUCAGUAGCUGGUCUGAGAGGAUGAUCAGCCACAUUGGGACUGAGACACGGCCCAAACUCCUACGGGAGGCAGCAGUGGGGAAUAUUGCGCAAUGGGCGAAAGCCUGACGCAGCCAUGCCGCGUGAAUGAUGAAGGUCUUAGGAUUGUAAAAUUCUUUCACCGGGGACGAUAAUGACGGUACCCGGAGAAGAAGCCCCGGCUAACUUCGUG